UUUUUUGGCAUUUUACGGCCAUAAAACUGGAAUUCCGCACGAUUCUCAUAUUUUCGUGUUCUAUAUCCCACGCCUUCUGCCGUCGGCCUGAGACCCCGGACCCGGAUCGCCUACAAGUUUUUCGGGACAUUGAAUACGGCCUAAGCAACCAUAUUCACCACCCCUCCAUGACUAAAUAAAGUUGUUUGGCAUUUUACGGUCAUAAAACUGGAAAUCCGCGCGAGUCCCAAAUUUUUGUGUGCUAUAGCCCACGCCUUCCGCCGUGGGCCCGGGACCCUGGAUCUGGAUCGCCGUAAAUUUUUCUAGGAUGCGAAUAUGGCCUAAGGAACCAUUGUCACCACCCCUCCAUGACCAAUUUACGUUUUAUGGUAUUUUACGGCCAUAAAACUGGAAUUCUGCAUGAUUCUCAUAUUUUCGUGUUCUUUAUCCCACGCCUUCCGCCGUCGGCCUGAGACCCCGGACCCGGAUCACCUAAAAGUUUUCCGGGAC
rnacentral:lncRNA from 1 species